AUUGAACGCUGGCGGCAUGCCUUACACAUGCAAGUCGAACGGCAGCACGGGGCAACCUGGUGGCGAGUGGCGAACGGGUGAGUAAUAUAUCGGAACAUACCCUAGAGUGGGGGAUAACGUAGCGAAAGUUACGCUAAUACCGCAUACGCACUAAGGUGGAAAGUGGGGGAUCGCAAGACCUCAUGCUCAUGGAGUGGCCGAUAUCUGAUUAGCUAGUUGGUGAGGUAAAGGCUCACCAAGGCGACGAUCAGUAGCUGGUCUGAGAGGACGACCAGCCACACUGGAACUGAGACACGGUCCAGACUCCUACGGGAGGCAGCAGUGGGGAAUUUUGGACAAUGGGGGCAACCCUGAUCCAGCAAUGCCGCGUGAGUGAAGAAGGCCUUCGGUUGUAAAGCUCUUUGUCAGGGAAGAAACGGUGUUUCCUAAUACGGAAUGCUAAUGACGGUACCUGAAGAAUAAGCACCGGCUAACUACGUGCCAGC
rnacentral:rRNA from 1 species